rnacentral:ncRNA from 1 species
CGGGAAUUCGGUGCGGCACCUGCCAAAUCCGAAACUGCCCCCGCAACUGUUGGUUCCGUAACGUCAGGGGCGCCAAUGCAGCCUGUGACACCGGGAACAAGUCAGAUUACCG